rnacentral:rRNA from 1 species
AGGGAAUCUUCCACAAUGGACGAAAGUCUGAUGGAGCAACGCCGCGUGAGUGAUGAAGGGUUUCGGCUCGUAAAACUCUGUUGUUGGAGAAGAACAGGUGUGAGAGUAACUGUUCACAUCUUGACGGUAUCCAACCAGAAAGCCACGGCUAACUACGUGCCAGCAGCCGCGGUAAUACGUAGGUGGCAAGCGUUGUCCGGAUUUAUUGGGCGUAAAGCGAGCGCAGGCGGUUUUCUUAGGUCUGAUGUGAAAGCCUUCGGCUUAACCGGAGAAGUGCAUCGGAACAGAG